AGAGCACUCUGUAUAUAUGUAGGAACUGUCUAUACAUGGAGGGCACUCUGUAUAUAUGUAGGAACUGUCUAUACAUGGAGGGCACUCUGUAUAUAUGUAGGCACUGUGUAUACAUGGAGAGCACUCUAUAUAUGUAGGCACUGUGUAUACAUGGAGGGCACUGUGUAUACAUGGAGGGCACUGUGUAUAUAUGGAGGGCACUGUGUAUAUAUGGAGAGCACUCUGUAUAUAUGGAGAGCACUCUGUAUAUAUGGAGAGCACUCUGUAUAUAUGGAGAGCACUCUGUAUAUAUGGAGAGCACUCUGUAUACAUGGAGAGCACUCUGUGUAUACAUGGAGAGCACUCUGUGUAUACAUGGAGAGCACUCUGUGUAUACAUGGAGAGCACUCUGUGUAUACAUGGAGAGCACUCUGUAUGUAUGUAGGCACUGUGUAUACAUGGAGAGCACUCUGUAUGUAGGCACUGUGUAUGCAUGGAGAGCACUCUGUAUGUAUGUAGGCACUGUCUAUACAUGGAGAGCACUCUGUAUAUAUAUCUAUAGCUAUUGAUAGAGAGCUAGCUGUGUAUAUAUAGCUAUAGGCACUGUGUAUAUAUAUAUAUAUAUAUAUAUCUAUAGUUAUUGAUAGAGAGCUAACGGUGUGUAUAUAUAGCUAUAGGCACGGUCUAUACAUGGAGAGCACUCUGUAUAUAUGUAGGCACUGUCUAUACAUGGAGAGCACUCUGUGUAUAUGUAGGCACUGUGUAUACAUGGAGAGCACUCUGUAUAUAUAUCUAUAGCUAUUGAUAGAGAGCUAGCGGUGUGUAUAUAUAGCUAUAGGCACUGUGUAUACAUGGAGAGCACUCUGUAUAUAUAUA